rnacentral:rRNA from 1 species
UACGUAGGGCGCAAGCGUUGUCCGGAAUUAUUGGGCGUAAAGAGCUCGUAGGCGGUCUGUCGCGUCCGUCGUGAAAGCCCACAGCUUAACUGUGGGUCUGCAGUGGGUACGGGCAGACUAGAGUGUGGUAGGGGAGACUGGAAUUCCUGGUGUAGCGGUGGAAUGCGCAGAUAUCAGGAGGAACACCGAUGGCGAAGGCAGGUCUCUGGGCCACUACUGACGCUGAGGAGCGAAAGCAUGGGGAGCGAACAGG